ensembl:lncRNA
UUUCGCCCAAACUCAACACAAGUUGGUUGAUAUAUUUGAGCAGCUCCAGUCUGUAAGAAAUGGAGACAGCAGACAAGUGUAGAAAAGUGCAGUAGAACAUAUGAGCUUUUUUACAGACAGUCAGUAACUAGAUUCCUAAACAGUGUGUGUUUGUGGUCACCGAUGAAGAUGGCUGUAUCUGAGGUGAGCUGUUGUCAUAGAAACAACACCCCGGUCUACAAGCUCCACGGUGACGUGAAUCCUGACUGCACCAUCACCUGGCUCACCCGAGACAACAAGAUGAUUGUAGAUGAUUCUGGUAAUGUGGACCCGGACACCGUAGUUUCAUACGAACACGGUGAGCUGACCGUGAAGAGCCGAGACUGUGAUGUGUUGGUCAGAGAGGACUGUCUGUCUCUGGGGGAGCGCAAAAUAAACUGCACAGCUCUGUGUAAACCAGAAAAGCCUAAUGUAACUGAAAACCUGACUACAGAAGACAGGAUCUCUCCUCUGAUCAUCAGCUUCAUCAUUCUCGGCCUCGUCGUCCUCCUCCUCCUCCUCAUCAUCCCCAUUAGUGUUGGUGUGGUGGUGUAUAAGAGACUCCAAGGGAGCCAUGACUUUGAAAAUGCGAACACCAUUAACGAAACUAAUGACCACCACAACAUCGUGGAACUCCAGCCUCUUCAGUGAGGUUGUAUAAACCGUGCCAGCGUUUGGCCGUCUGUAGAUGAAGUUAUAAAUGUAGAGGCAGGUGCGGAGACUUCCGCUGGAAUUACAAUGAGAUCUUCAAGGUGAUUUUCUUCAUUUUCAGUUUAAAAUGUAAGAACGUCACACCUGAAUGAGAAUCAGUACAAAGAGAAACCGACUUCUGUAGUUUAUAGAUUUAUAGAUAUAUAGAUUUAUAAAUAUAUAGAUAGAUGCUCUAUAUUACACAGUAAACAGAGAAACAGGACGAUCAGAUGAAAGUUGCACCGCUGAUGAAGGACUUUUGCCUCAAAUGUUUUUGUUUCUCUGAAAAAUAUAUAUAAUGUCAU